rnacentral:rRNA from 1 species
GUCUAUGGCCAUACCACCCUGAACAUGCCAGAUCUGAUCUGAUCUUGGAAGCUAAGUAGGGUUGGUCCUUGUUAGUGCUUUCAUGGGAGAAAUUUGAAAAUGAGGUAUGUGUGUGUG